ensembl:lncRNA
GCUGCAGUUAAUAGCAGGAGCCUUAUCCUAUCUGGGCUCCUCUCAGUGGGCUGCAGCUUCCUUCAGGGCAUAUCUGUCUACUCCAGUUUGGUCUUUUCCACAGGCUGAGGGAGAAGUCUUGGAUCUGGGGCCUGAUUCACCUCCUCCCCAUCCUUCUUCAUUGACCUUGGAGCCUGCAGGUGAAUUAAGGAGAAUGGAAAGGAGGGGGAUUUUGUGUUCCACUGUGAGAGCUGCUUGGUAACAUGUAGGCAAGUAAGCUAUAAAGAUGUUCUCCAAACAGUUUCAUAGGUUUUGUGUACCAAAAAGGACAGUGAUGAACCUCCAAACCCAUUAAAAAAAUAAUUCUCUCAACUUGAAGUGAUUACUAUUUGGAGUGGACUAUCUGAAUCCACACUGAAGAAUGCUUGGUGCAGAUUUUUCAGCAGGAUAAUGUUUUGGCCUUAUAGCCUCAUGACUUAACUCUGUGUAUGUAAUUUCCAUUUCAAGGCAUCUAAAAAAAUCAACUCAGAUCAAAAAUUGCAAAAAUAUUUUGUGAGAGGCUGAGAGGACAUGUUUUGUCCUUCUUGAAGUGUAGAAUGAAAGCAUGUGGGAUCAAAAAGUUUGCUCAGACAGUUGUUAGAGAAACGUUCCUACGUGUAACACCUAGCACAAUGCAUAUCCAUAAAUCAUGUAUCUGAACUGAAUUCCAAAGCAAAAUAUUCAUUCAGUCAGGAUCACUUUUAGAAGACGACAGUGUGUCUUCAUCUUCUUCUGAACCAGCAUAUAUGCAACACUGACAACUCAGUGGUCCUAGAAUCUGGAGGAAACCGGUGAGAAAUUUCUUAGGACAGAAAAUGCCUAAGUACUUUUUCUCCUUAGCUAUAUUUGAGAUUAAACAGAUGAGUGCCCUAUCUAGACCACAGAAUGUGAGAUUAUACUUUACUUGUGAAGGAACACAGGUAGUUCCACACAAACAUGAGGAAAAAAAUUGUUACUUUGAGGGUUACAGAACGCUAGAACAGGCUGCCCAGAGAGGUUGUGGAGUUUCCUCCUUUGGAGAUAUUUAAGACUCAUUUGGAUGCCUUUCUGUGUAACCUGCUCUAGGGAAUCUGCUUUACCUUUGGCUUGGACUCAGUCUCUAGAGGUCACUCCCAACCCUUACAGUUCUGUGAUUCUGUGAGCAGUAAAGCAGACGCAUAGGUUUGUUAGAUAAAUCAUACAAAUUAUGAUGUAUUUGCCACAUAUAGCAUAUUCUGUAUAUGCUAUAGUACAGACACGGGUAACUUAAAAUUUUAAUAAAUGGAUAGUGUUUUCCCUCAUUUUUCACAUGAUCAAACAUGAAAAUUUGAAUUCCAUAUGGUAAGACCUUGUUUGUUUGACUGGAGUCCCAGCUUAGCAGAUUUCACUUUUAUAUUUCCGAACUGAUUAUUUACUAUUGCAAAACACAGAAUAUCAUAUGCUUUUUAUUAUAACCCAAAUGUUAUUUCUUAUGUUUAAAAUUUUUGUACCGAUCCUGACAAAGAACCUAAUUUAUUCUAAACUUUUAACAAUAUACAACAUCCAAGUAAUAAAAUGUUUUUUCUGUUUUAUUCUUUCCACAUCUGCUUGUAAUUCUCAGCACUACUGUUUUUGUCAGAUUAUGGUUUGUAUUCAAACCUUAUUGAGAUUCUAGCAAUAAAGUUUUCAUAUACUAGCAUAUCUGAAAUGGCUUUUUAAAGCAUGAUCAUUAAAUUCAAAUGAAAGGCAUUGAUAAGGGAAAGAAUUAUACAUGUAAAGUUGGUUUUGUCAUACUGUGACAUCAGGUAUCUGAAGUACAUAAGCAAUUUCAGGAAUUAUUAUUGUGUGAAUGACUUUUUCUAUAAUUAAAAUUUGAGGGGGGAAUAUCAAGUAAUAUUGCUAAGAGUAGCUGGCACUUUUAAUUUUGCUGCUGUGCAUAGACAGCAAGAGAAGAGGG